rnacentral:rRNA from 1 species
UGAGAGUUUGAUCCUGGCUCAGGAUUAACGCUUGCGAUGUGCCUAAGGUAUGCAAGUCGAACGAUUCCUGUGUCUUCGGACACAGGGAGUGGCAGACGGCUGAGUAACGCGUAGGAACCUACCCCAAACUCGAGUGUAGCCCCGCGAAAGCGGGGGUAAUCCUCGAUAGUCCGUGAAGCAUCUUGCUUUACGGUAAAGCUUUUGCGGUUUGGGAUGGGCCUGCGUCCUAUCAGGUAGUUGGUGAGGUAAAUGCUCACCAAGCCUAUGACGGGUAGCUGGUCUGAGAGGAUGAUCAGCCAGACUGGGACUGCGACACGGCCCAGACUCCUACGGGAGGCAGCAACUAGGAAUUGUGCGCAAUGGACGAAAGUCUGACGCCGCGACAUCGCGUGGAGGAUGAAGGUCUUCGGAUUGUAAACUCCUUUUCUUACCGAACAAGUUCUGAGUGUAGGUAAGGAAUAAGUGCCUGCUAACCACGUGCCAGAAGCAUCGGUAAUACGUGGGGCACGAGCGUUAUCCGGAUUUACUGGGCGUAAAGAGAAGCGUAGGCGGCUCGAUAAGUUUGGUGUUAAAUCUUCCGGCUCAACCGGAAACAAGCAUCGAAAACUAUCGAGAUUGAGUCGAGUAGGGAAGAGGGGAAUUCCUGGUGGAGCGGUUAAAUGCGUAGAUAUCAGGAGGAAUACCAAGGGCGAAGGCACCUCUUUGGACUCGUACUGACGCUGAGGCUCGAAAGCGUGGGUAGCAAAACGGAUUAGAUACCCGUGUAGUCCACGCCGUAAACGAUCCCUGUUAGAUGUAUGUUUUGUCUGUUU